rnacentral:rRNA from 1 species
GACGUAGGGCGCGAGCGUUUGUCCGGAUUUAUUGGGCGUAAAGGGCUCGUAGGCGGCCAACUAAGUCGGAUGUGAAAUCCCCAGGCUUAACCUGGGAACUGCAUCCGAUACUGGAUGGCUUGAAUCCGGGAGAGGGAUGCGGAAUUCCAGGUGUAGCGGUGAAAUGCGUAGAUAUCUGGAGGAACACCGGUGGCGAAGGCGGCAUCCUGGACCGGCAUUGACGCUGAGGAGCGAAAGCCAGGGGAGCAAAACGGGG